rnacentral:rRNA from 1 species
UACGAAGGGUGCAAGCGUUAAUCGGAAUUACUGGGCGUAAAGGGUGCGUAGGCGGUUGUUUAAGUCUGUCGUGAAAUCCCCGGGCUCAACCUGGGAAUGGCGAUGGAUACUGGGCAGCUAGAGUGUGUCAGAGGGUGGUGGAAUUCCCGGUGUAGCGGUGAAAUGCGUAGAGAUCGGGAGGAACAUCAGUGGCGAAGGCGGCCAUCUGGGACAACACUGACGCUGAAGCACGAAAGCGUGGGGAGCAAACAGG